CCACCGGGAUGCUUAGUACGGCGAGUGAAGCGGCAAAAGCUCAAAUUUGAAAUCUGGUACCUUCGGUGCCCGAGUUGUAAUUUGGAGAGGGCAACUUUGGGGCCGUUCCUUGUCUAUGUUCCUUGGAACAGGACGUCAUAGAGGGUGAGAAUCCCGUGUGGCGAGGAGUGCGGUUCUUUGUAAAGUGCCUUCGAAGAGUCGAGUUGUUUGGGAAUGCAGCUCUAAGUGGGUGGUAAAUUCCAUCUAAAGCUAAAUAUUGGCGAGAGACCGAUAGCGAACAAGUACAGUGAUGGAAAGAUGAAAAGAACUUUGAAAAGAGAGUGAAAAAGUACGUGAAAUUGUUGAAAGGGAAGGGCAUUUGAUCAGACAUGGUGUUUUGUGCCCUCUGCUCCUUGUGGGUAGGGGAAUCUCGCAUUUCACUGGGCCAGCAUCAGUUUUGGUGGCAGGAUAAAUCCAUAGGAAUGUAGCUUGCCUCGGUAAGUAUUAUAGCCUGUGGGAAUACUGCCAGCUGGGACUGAGGACUGCGACGUAAGUCAAGGAUGCUGGCAUAAUGGUUAUAUGCCGCCCGUCUUGA
rnacentral:rRNA from 1 species